rnacentral:sRNA from 1 species
AGAUUAAACAUCAUGACCAAGACAGUGUGCAGACGGGAGCGUCUACCUUGACUCACAGUUACAGAGGACUCACCAUGGAGGGCAAGCAUGGCAGCAAACAGCAGUAGGCAUGGUUGCAGGGGCAAGAAGGCCACAUCUUGAGCCACAAGCACAGAGCAGAGAGAGCAAGUAAAGUAGAAGGGACCAUUUAAUCCAAGGGCUUUUUCCCAGAUUUCCUCAGCCUAACACAAACCUCACUAAGAAAUGCCACCAAGUUGAAUCCAAGUGUACAAAUGCCUAAGUCCAUGGGGGGAGGGCGAUGUCUCAUUCCAACCACUCCAGUGGAAUACAUAGGGAGACACUGUCUAGGAAAAAGAGGAAUGUGACCUAAAUCCAUGAUUGUUCUCUCUAUAUUCAAAGAAGGGAGAAACUUGUCACUGACACCACCUUAACACUCUGUGGGCAGGCAGGUGAGUCACCGAGACCAUUAUACAAGACUGUCCCUGAGGUGAGAGCCCUUUCAGCUUUCCUAUUCAUCCCUCCCUGUUUCUUCUUCCCAGCGCAGAUGAUAUGUGAAUGGAUUACUCUACCCAUAUCGGCUCUUCCCUCGUCAAGUCGAGUCAACUCUGGCAAUAUGGAUUUCUCCCCUGAAGCAUGGGUCUCACGUAUCAUGUGCUGGCCUCCAGCUCCACCUCAUUGUGGAAGAGAAUAUGGCCUUAUGCUCAAGCUCAUUAGUGCCCAAUGGGAUGUGACAAAGCGCUUGCAAUGUGUGGUCAGAGUUUCUUCCUGGUCAGGCUGACUGGUGAUGGCUGUUUCUCACCCUGAGGACUCAGGACUCUCUUCGGCAGCUGGGCCACAGGAAUGUCAUUUCUUACUGUGUCUGGUUUUGAUUUUCCUUGUACUGCUGGUGACGAACACUAGGCCCUAUGUAAGCAAGGUAAGAGCUCUACUAAUAAGCCAGAUCCCAGCCUGCAACAGGCUUUGCUUAACUGAAAAAAAUCUUUCUUAGCUCAAAGCCUAAUAAUUUUUCCUUCUGGAAGUUUUUAAAGUUCAGUUUUUAUAUUUGAAUUUGUGAACUAUUUUGAAAUAACUAUGGAAAUGAUCAAAUGAUGUCAUUCUUUUCAUUGUAUGCACACCCACCCACACACUCCCACACACUCCCACACACUGGAUUAUGGAAUGCUUCAAAGACUUAGUGUUGGAGUAAAAUAAUAAGAAAUGUAGUCUUGAUUAUCAAUUGAUGUAGGAAAGCCCAGCCCACCAUGGGUGGCACCAUACCCUGAGCCCAUAUUUCUGGGCUAUAUAAGAAGGCUACCUAAUUUCUCCAUGGUUUCUGCUGUGCUUCCUUGAUUUAAGUUCCUUGGUCAGAGCUAAACUGUGUCUCUGCCUUCAGGUUCUGCCUUGAGUGCUUACCUUGUCUUCCCUCGCUGACAGGCAAUGACCUGGAAAUGUAGGAUGAAAUCAACUGUUUCUUCCUUUGAAAAAAGAAAUGAUAGACAAACGCAAUGGCCAUGCACUCAUACAGAAUGUUUUCUCUCAUCAUGGAGCUACCUCAUGAUCCUGCUGCUGUGGGGAGUAACUCCCUGAAGCCCUGUAGGCCGCAUCUCAUGCCCUUUCUCUUCUCAUUUCUCUCUAUCCACGCGGCAUACAGUCCUGCUGCCCUUUAGAAAAAGGGACAGAGAGCUUUGACAGAGACAACUGGGAUGAUGAAUGGAAUUUAAUUUAUGCAAGUCCUCUAAUUAUGGCGAUGACCUACAUUCUCCUCUCACUGACAGAGCACACACUCACCUUGAAAGCUGCUGACUAGCUAGAAAGACUGGAGUGAGAGCAUGCUCUGCGAGUCACAGCCCCCAACUGUGAGCACUAAAGAAUUCCUGAAUGACCAGGCAAGUCUACAGACUCCAUGUAAGAUUUAAAAAAAAAAACUCCUAAAAACUAUUCUAUUCACAGUAAUAAAAAAUAUUCUCAGGGUGAGACAAAGCCUUCCUUCCAUAGAUGACAAAGAAAUGAGCAAAUGGCUUUAUUUGGAAGUGCAAAGCUUGAGUCUGUGUGUCAUGUUGGGCCCGUUAAUUAUGCUUGUAAUUUGUGUCAUCGAUGAGUCAUCAGCUCCAUGAGUUAUAAAUAUAUAGCAAUUCCAUUCUUCCUUAAGUAAUUGGUUAUGAGGGUAGGUGAACAGCAUCGUCAUUUUAGAAGUCAUGUGGCCAUUUUCUUUGACAUCCCAAGGGGAUAGUAGCUUUGAAGCACUACAUUUGUUCUUGAAGCCACUGUCCCAAUUUGGUGUUGAAAGUUGUCCCAAGUAUGUUGUUCACACGGAGUCAUUUUGCUUGUUUAUAUAGAGUGAUUUCUCUUCCUCAGGACAAUGCAGGAAAAUGGAUAUAGUGUAGAUGUUUGUUUAUGAGCCUCAGUGGUAAUAUUUCACUGAAAAAAUUAGACUGUUUUCUAUGCAAGGACCAGAAAUGUGGGCUAUUCCCUCAUUGGUUUUUUAUUUAUUUUGU